AUUGAACGCUGGCGGCAUGCUUUACACAUGCAAGUCGAACGGUAACAGGGUGCUUGCACCGCUGACGAGUGGCGAACGGGUGAGUAAUGCGUCGGAACGUGCCGAGUAGUGGGGGAUAACGCAGCGAAAGUUGUGCUAAUACCGCAUACGUACUGAGGUAGAAAGUGGGGGACCUUCGGGCCUCACGCUAUCCGAGCGGCCGACGUCUGAUUAGCUAGUAGGUGAGGUAAAGGCUCACCUAGGCGACGAUCAGUAGCGGGUCUGAGAGGAUGAUCCGCCACACUGGGACUGAGACACGGCCCAGACUCCUACGGGAGGCAGCAGUGGGGAAUUUUGGACAAUGGGCGAAAGCCUGAUCCAGCCAUGCCGCGUGUCUGAAGAAGGCCUUCGGGUUGUAAAGGACUUUUGUCAGGGAGGAAAUCCCUAGCGUUAAUACCGCUGGGGGAUGACAGUACCUGAAGAAUAAGCACCGGCUAACUAUGUGCCAGCCGCCGCAGUAACAC
rnacentral:rRNA from 1 species